rnacentral:lncRNA from 1 species
UGUUCUGUGUUUGUGUGUAACUGUUUGUGUUGUUGUUUUUGUAUUGUUAAUGUGAUGUUGUUCUAUGUUUAGCGAUCAAAGACUGUGGAGGGUUGAUGACUUUUGGCCUCUUUUUGAUGUGGUUUGGCUUCAAAAAACCUGAAAGGGUAUGGUUCGGUUAACCUGUAAGGGUCUGGUUACUAACGUAUUGGACUCAUCCCUCGAACUGAGUUCUUACGCGUUUAUUUGAAUCCCUUUGUGUUUGGUGACCUGGCUACUUCGAGAGACUGGUCUUCCAGGUUUGUUGAGAUUUGCAGGUUUCAAGUAGUCUUGUUCGCCUACUAUUUGAUAUUUGUGGUUCGAAAGAGUAUUUAAGCUUGCUGCGUUGGUCUGGGAGUUGUCGACACUUGGAUUUUGUUACCAUGUUGGCGGUCGAUCCAUUCGCUGUUCUUAAACCUUAACUGUUAUUGGCAGAGGUCUACUUCUCUUUUUUUUUUUGUAACUUGGUUUUGUGCUCGUACGCGGGUUCUGUUGGUUGUGCCCGUGAUUAGUGGAUAUUUUUGUUAUGGUAGUUUAGGGUUGUUCCUGUAGGUCUGUUUGAUAUCGAUGUAUCCCCUUUGAGUUGUACCUCGGUUAGGUUUAAUGUCCCCUCAGUCUUUGUAUCUUUCUCUUUUAAUUUAUUUAAUUUUUCCUUUUGACUAAAAAAAUUAUGGAGGUUUUAAUCUAUUUUAAGAGAUUUUAGGGGAAUUUAUAAUUUGUAAUGCAAAAUUAGAGAUGUUUUGUCAUUUAAAAGAAUCUUAUGGAAGAUGAGCAUAAUUACCCAUUUAGAAAAUGAACAUUAGUAUUAUAAAAAAAAAAACAAUGAACAUUACUAGCUAUAUUACAAUUAGAUAUCAUCAAGUAAAGAUCAGACUGUGGAGGGUUGAUGACUUUUGGCCUCUUUUUGAUGUAGUUUAGCUUCAAAAAACCUGAAAGGGUAUGGUUCUGUUAACCUGUAAGGGUCUGGUUACUGAUGUAUUGGACUCAUCCCUCGAACUGAGUUCUUACGCGUUUAUUUGAAUCUCGUUGUGUUUGGUGAUCUGGCUACUUCGAGACUCUAGUGUUCCAGGUUUGUCAGAUUUGCGGGUUUCAAGUCGUCUUGUCCGCCUACUAUUUGGUAUUUGUGGCUCGAAAGAGUAUUUAUGCUUGCUGCGUUGGUCAGGGAGCUGUCGGCACUUGGAUUUUUUUACCAUGUUGGCGGUCGAUCCAUUCGCGGGUUCGCUAGGUUGUGCCCGUGAUUAGUGGAUUUUUUUGUUAUGGUAGUUUAGGAUUGUUCUUGUAGGUCUGUUUUAUAUCGAUGUAUCCCCUUUGGGUUGUACCUGGGUCAGGUUUAAUGUCCCCUCAGUCUUUGUAUCUUUCUCUUUUAAUUUAUUUAAUUUUUCCUUUUGACUAAAAAAAUUAUGGAGG